AUGACCGAUGAUCUUAUCAAUAAUGCCCGAGUGCAAGCCAUCAUCUGGGGUCCUCAAACAUCGACAGAAACAGAUUUCCUCUCCUACCUGGGCCGCCUCCACCGCAUUCGGGUCCUCUCCUUCGGCAUUUCCCCAAAUUCCUGCACCUUCUGGCUAGAAGAUCCUGCAACAGCUUCCAGGGGUCACAGCAAGAUCGGCUUUACACUUGACAAUGACACUAUAACAUUUCUUAGUCCAAAAACUGGUAGUAGACGAAAUGGCAGGAAAUUACAGACAGGAAAAGCGAGGAUGAACUGCAGAAGCCAUAAUAUGACGAUGCUCAGGAUUGCUGUGCCGCAGAAAGAAGGUUUUGAAGAUUUUGUGCAUGUUGCUGAUCCGAAUACCAGUUACCAAAAGGUCACUGGCUACAGGAUUGAUAUCUUCGAAGCUGCUAUGAAGCAGCUACGUCGUCCACCACGCUAUGAGUUUUAUGUCUUCCAUGGUUCCUACGAUGCGCUAGUAGGCAACGUGUCUUCAGGGGUGUAUGAUGCAGCAGUUGGUGAUGUUAGCAUAACUCCUGAUCGAGCCGCUGACACAGAUUUUACAAUGCCGUACACACAAUCUGGAGUGUUUAUGCUUGUGCUCGCUGAGGACGAGCCAGAAACAGUUGAGUGGAAAUUUGUGAAGCCACUGAGUUCGGCACUUUGGUUUACAACUGUGGGCUUCUUCUUCUAUACUGGCUUUGUUGUGUGGAUGAUUGAGCGCUCCAGAAAUCAAGAGUACCAAGGAUCAAAUUUGAGACAGUUCAGCACCGCUUCUUACUUUGCUUUCUCUACUUUGACAUUUUCACAUGCUCAGACUAUUAGAAGCCCCUUGUCAAAAAUUGUUGUGGUGGUAUGGUGCUUUGUGGUUCUGAUUGUAGUGCAGAGUUACACAGCAAGCUUGUCAGCCAUACUAACCGCAAAGAGCCGCCGGCCUUCAGUGACAGAUCUGAACCAGCUCCAGCUCAGGAAUGGCUCUGUUGGACACCAAGAGGGGUCAUUUCUGCGCUCCAUCUUGAUAAAAAAUUAUUAUUUCGACAAAGAUAGGUUACAGAGCUACAUAAAGAAAGAGGACUAUGCUGAUGCUUUGAGAAAUGGAUCGGUAUCAGCUAUCGUUGAUGAGCUUCCCUUCUUGACAUCAUUCCUCUCUGAUCCUCGGAAUAAGGAAGACUUUAGGAUGGUUAAUCUCAUGUACAUGACUCCUGGAUUUGGUUUUGCAUUCUGUCUAGGUUCGCCGCUGGUGCAUGAUCUUUCUACUGCCAUCUUGAAAAUAACAGGAAGCGAUGAGGGAUUGAGGAUUCAAAGAAAGUGGUUAGGCGCAGAUCCACUGUUGUCGGCGGCCAGUGACGGCAGCCCCGACCCCGGUUCCACACAAAUCAAUUUGCCAAGCGUCGCUGGUGCCUUCGUCAUCACCGGAGUUAUCUCAACUCUCAUGUUACUGGUAAGCAUUGGGAGGCUGAUUCAUGCCAGCUGCACCAGCGGGCGAAUAUCCGAUGUGGAAAGUGUCAAUUGUCAUGGUGGUGACAGCGUCGGCCAAGCUUCCGUUCACUUGGAGAAUGGCAGCAUAGGUCACAGUUCUGCUGCCUCUGAUCAACCCCUCUGUGAGGCCGUGAAUAGCGAGUCCCAUGGGCGCUUUGAGAAUGCUGCCGGCCAAGAGGCUUGUCCAAUGCAGCAGAAUGGCAUGCAGAGCGGCUCUGCGACUGCAGAAUCCAUCCAGAUUGAGAUGAGAACUGUCUGA
rnacentral:rRNA from 1 species